rnacentral:tRNA from 1 species
GGGGCUGUGGCUCAGUGGUAGAGCACUUGCCUUGCAUGCAUGAGGCACUGAGUUCAAUCCUCAGCACCA